AGAGUUUGAUCAUGGCUCAGGAUGAACGCUGGCGGCGUGCUUAACACAUGCAAGUCGAACGAACCUUCGGGUUAGUGGCGGACGGGUGAGUAACGCGUGAGAAUCUGCCCUCAGGAGGGGGAUAACGGCUGGAAACGGCCGCUAAUACCCCAUAUGCCGAGAGGUGAAAUGAAUUUCGCCUGAGGAUGAGCUCGCGUCUGAUUAGCUAUUUGGUAGGGUAAAGGCCUACCAAGGCUUCGAUCAGUAGCUGGUCUGAGAGGAUGAUCAGCCACACUGGGACUGAGACACGGCCCAGACUCCUACGGGAGGCAGCAGUGGGGAAUUUUCCGCAAUGGGCGAAAGCCUGACGGAGCAACGCCGCGUGAGGGAUGAAGGCCUCUGGGCUGUAAACCUCUUUUAUCAAGGAAGAAGAUCUGACGGUACUUGAUGAAUAAGCCACGGCUAAUUCCGUGCCAGCAGCCGCGGUAAUACGGGAGUGGCAAGCGUUAUCCGGAAUUAUUGGGCGUAAAGCGUCCGCAGGCGGUCUUACAAGUCUGUCGUUAAAGCGUGGAGCUUAACUCCAUUUCAGCGAUGGAAACUGUAAGACUAGAGUGUGGUAGGGGCAGAGGGAAUUCCCGGUGUAGCGGUGAAAUGCGUAGAUAUCGGGAAGAACACCAGUGGCGAAGGCGCUCUGCUGGGCCAUAACUGACGCUCAUGGACGAAAGCCAGGGGAGCGAAAGGGAUUAGAUACCCCUGUAGUCCUGGCCGUAAACGAUGAACACUAGGUGUCGGGGGAAUCGACCCCCUCGGUGUCGUAGCCAACGCGUUAAGUGUUCCGCCUGGGGAGUACGCACGCAAGUGUGAAACUCAAAGGAAUUGACGGGGGCCCGCACAAGCGGUGGAGUAUGUGGUUUAAUUCGAUGCAACGCGAAGAACCUUACCAGGGUUUGACAUCCUGCGAAUCCCUUGGAAACGAGGGAGUGCCUUCGGGAACGCAGUGACAGGUGGUGCAUGGCUGUCGUCAG
rnacentral:rRNA from 1 species